AGUAAGAAAUGUAUAUAAGUAUGUAUAUCUAUAAAUUAUAAAAAAAAUAUGUACGUGUAUGUGUAUUAAAAGAACAUGUAUGUAUAUAUAAUGACUUAAAUCAAGUAGUACAAAUAAUAAGAAAAAUAUUAGGUAAAUAAAAUAUACAUAUAUAUAUGUACAUAUAUAUAUAACUUAGAAUAAAUAUUAAGGAACUCCCCUUUUAUUUUUUUAAAAAAAAAUAAAUUAAAUGAAUUAAAGGAUGAAAAUAAAAUCAAACCAAAAUCUGGGGUUCCAAACUGUAAAAUAAAUAAAAAGAUCGUCAGGGACCAAAAUAGGAUGCGUUGGGAAGAAAGAAGGACUGACUGCGCAAUAUCCCCGUCUCUUAUGCGCUUCGUUUUGACAUGGGCCAGAACGAAAUAAGAAACAAAUUACGCAGAUAAAUUAAAAAGGAAAGAAAGUAAGAAAAACGGACUGGAUUAAAAGAACAAAAAAUGAAGAGGGACUAUCUACACAAAUAACCCCAAAGAACCAAACAUGCAGAUUCCCCCCCCAAAAACGACGUCGUUUUGCGUCUAGGGUGGGUUCCAACACACUGCCGUUUCAGCUCUCCACUUAAACCCUCCUUUUAUUUUUUGUUCAUUUAUUCCCCCCUAUUAAGAAAAAUCUACAGAAACCUCUCAAAACCUCCCCAUGCCUUCCGACGGUUGAGUUUCACACCGCCGUUUAUCCGUCCAUCGUACCGCCACUAUACCGGCGGCCAACGAAGCGACAAAGGGGCUUUCAGAGCCUAGCCUUCGGGCGAUUUGAAAAGCCGGGUCUUUGAACACCCACGAGCGCCGAGACUGAGGCUCGUAGCUCCCCCCUUUCAGAUCCGGGCCAGCGAUGGAGAACCACACACCGACGGCGCAGUUGUGAGGUAUCUCCGGUAAGCCCUUUUUCUCUACUUUGUUUUCGUUAAAAAAUAUGUAUAUAUAAAAUAGAGUAAAACAAAAUAAAAUAACAGGUCUAGAGAAGAAAAAACUUAGUUUUCUUUUUAUUUCUAAAGUUUGUUAAAUUGCCCCAGAGCCCCCAUUACAAUGCUUUUGUUCAGCCUAUAUAGCAAACUUUUACCACCCCUAAACUUCUAUUUUUGUCGUUUUAUGCUUUGGAUCCUUGUACUGUUGCGUGUGGCUUCGUUUUGCAGGUGUCAGAGGCGUGGAGGAAUGUCAGACGCGUGGGGCGUGGUGGCCAAGGCUGAGGGGCAUGGUGGCCGACAUGGUGGCGGAUGAGGAGCGUGGCAGACGAGGGGGGCCACGCAUGGAAGCUUGCGACGGCUAGCUUGGGGAAGCAAACUAAGGUUCGCUGAAAAUGGGGUUAAUCUUGGGCUAGGGUUAUGUUUGUUUUGGGUUUAGGGUUAAUUUUGGGUAGUUUGGGCCAUAUGAAAUUUGGGCUGCAAUUUAGACUUUAUUUCAUGUAUUUGGUUUAUGUUUUAUUUUUAUUUCGUUUUUUGUUUUGGCUCUGGGCCCGGGCAAAAUGGGCUCGUACAGCAUAUAUUAAUAAGUGUAUAUAUAUAUAUAUGAUGUUGAAAUAAUUUUAUGAAUCACAUAUAUAUUCGUAAUUAAUAUGCUAAUAAAUAAAUCAUUAGAAUCAAUAUGUAACUGGUAAGAAAAAAAGAUAUUUUUUUAUUUUAAUUAGACUUAAAUUUUAUACGAGA
rnacentral:lncRNA from 1 species